GCCUUGCUGGUGGCCCCACAUUGGAGGGUCCUGGGGAGGGAGAGGCGGGCGGACCCAGUGGCACCCAUGGACUUGGUCUCCUCUCUGGAGCAGAAGCUGUCGGGCAGCCACAAGGCGCUGGUGGAGAUGCAAGAUGUCGUGGCUGAGCUUCUGAGGACCGUCCCCUGGGAGCAGCCGGCCACUAAGGACCCCCUCCUCCGCGUCCAGGAGGUGCUGAAUGGCACGGAGGUGAACCUGCAGCACCUCACCGCCCUGGUGGACUGCCGCAGCCUGCAUCUGGACUACGUGCAAGCACUGACCGGCUUCUGCUAUGAUGGCGUGGAGGGCCUCAUCUACCUGGCCCUCUUCUCCUUCGUCACAGCCCUCAUGUUCAGCUCCAUCGUCUGCAGCGUCCCGCACACCUGGCAGCAGAAGAGAGGCCCUGAUGAGGACGGGGAGGAAGAGGCCGCUCCAGGGCCGCGGCAGGCACACGACAGCCUCUACCGCGUCCACAUGCCCAGCCUGUACAGCUGUGGCAGCAGCUACGGCAGUGAGACCAGCAUCCCGGCCGCGGCCCACACCGUCAGCAACGCCCCGGUCACUGAGUA
rnacentral:sRNA from 1 species